GUCCCUUUGGGGACACUUGAUAAAAUUGGAACAAUACAAAGAAGAUUAGCAUGGCUUUUGCGCAAGGAUGGCAUGCAAAAAUCGAGAAAUAAUGAAAUAUGAU